UGCCUUAUUUGUAUAUAUAUCUUCCCAGUGCCUAGCAACUGGUAAAUAGUAGAAGUUCAAGAAAUAGUUGCUUAAGUGAAGUAGAAUUUCCCUUUUCCUCGAUGGUUCCAAUGAAUUCUCACAAGUCUGAACACCAGUCUGUUUCCCCUGUGCCUCCACCUUUCUUCUGUCUAAGGAAGCUACUUUUCUCAAAUUUGACAUUUGAUGGCAACACUACCAAGAAUUUCCUAGGACUAUAAUGAGAAAGUACUAAGAUGAGGUAUGAAAUAAUACGGACAUUUCUGCUCUGCUCAAGGCUGUCAAAAUGUGGGAAUUGUUUUGUUCAUAUGUUCUCUUCCUGAGGUGGGUGCAGCAUUGAUUUUUGAAGAAAACUCUGGGCUUUCUUAGAAGUAUCCCCUCUCGGCCUGCCUUCCUGUGGAGGUGUGCUUUAUGUUAUAAAUGAUCCUUACUUUACAUUUAUAAUUCAACACAUUUGCCUCCACUGACCUGUGAAAAAUAUCUAAAAUUAGAUACAUUUGAAAUGUCAAAGCUUCAUUUGACUCUGAUUUGACCCACAAAAUACUUUCGCCUAAGUCAAAUACAAGUCCGAGUGUGUGAAGCCUAAGAAAUCUUUUCUUUGUCCCAGGAAUUUGUAGUUAUUUUCAACAUGGAUAUCUUCAGUUCCUUACAGGAAGAGUUUUCCCCUGCUACAAGGUCUGAGGUGAGAAAAGACCCAAUGCCAGAGGGCGAUAAGAACUGUUCGUCUGUGUCAUUUUUAUAUACCAAUUUUGACUCAUUAUAAUGUCAAACUACCAAAAAGAUAGGUGGAACAGAGAUAAAAGGAAUAACUGCUUAUGGAGUACAAAGGGAAAACAAAACUACUAUGGAAGAUAUAGCUCCUCUUGGGGGGAGAGAAGGGGAAAUAAAUAACAAACCGUUCUAUACUCUGUGAUAUAUUAUAAAAUCAUGAUAUUACUAAUUCACUAUUUUGUGCCUUAUAUAAUGACAACCCUUGACAUUUAACUUUCAUGUUGCCAAACAGAGAAGGAGGUAUGCAACUAUAAUUUGCACCUUAAAGAUGGAUCUAUUACACAAAAAAUAUAUAACAGUAACCAAUUUGGGAGAGCUACUGUAAUAUAUUUAACAUUGCACACAAAAGAAGAAGUGGGUCAUUUACAUUAAGUAUUCUUGAAGAUUCAGUGGCCUGCAUUCAUUCUUUACGAUAACAUCACCAUGUGGGUACCAAAACUACAAUACACACAAAUCCACUCAUCAAUAAAUUUCUCUUGUACACAGGAUAAACAAUUUAAUAAAUUAAAAUUGGAAAAAGCCAUGUUCUUCGAUGAAUCACUUUCA